UCCACUACCAGGAUAUCCACUGGUUCUGUACAGCUCACUAUGUGUUGGCCUGCAUGCAGUUGCUGUGGUUAUGGGUACUGUAUAUAUACAUACUAUCACCUGGCAGACAGAGGGGAAAACUGGGUUUUAUAUAAACCGUUGAUUGUUGGAUGUAAAAUGGUGAUCAAUGACAUUACAAAUAAGGAUAACUGGAUAACUGUCACUACUUAACCAGACAUGCAGAGUGAGCAGUAGAGAGCUGUCUGUCUGUCUGUCUGUCUGUCUGUCUGUCUGUCUGUCUGUCUGUCUGUCUGUCUGUCUGUCUGUCUGUCUGUCUGUCUGUCUGUCUGUCUGUCUGUCUGUCUGUCUGUCUGUCUGUCUGUCUGUCUGUCUGUCUGUCUGUCUGUCUACAAACACAGAAAGAACAAACUGUCCUUUUUAGCCAGAGAGAGAAAGAGAGAGAGACCCACCCCUUGCAUAACUCUCUGUCUCUCUGUGGUGCUGUUUGCAUGGUUGGACCCACCCCUUAUAACCAGGCAAUUCACCAAGCUGGUUCUGCUGAACAAGAUGUUCUGGAAACAGAGAGAGGUUUGACUCUGGGCUCUCUGCUUUGUCAGUCUUCACUGUUAAUAUUCACCAAGAUGUUCUGGAAACAGAGAGAGGUUUGACUCUAGGCUCUCUGCUUUGUCAGUCUUCACUGUUAAUAUUCACCAAGAUGUUCUGGAAACAGAGAGAGGUUUGACUCUAGGCUCUCUGCUCCGUCUUUGUUGUUCUAUGUUAACAGUUCAAUGACACCGAAGACCGUUCAUGUUGGAAUGUCACACAUCAACAACACACACGACUAGCCGGGCGUUGAUUUCCUGGUGUGUGUGUGUGUGUGUUGUUUUUCCCAGGUGUCCCGGUGGUUGUGUCUGAGGUGGCACAGGAAGCAGCGGCCUUGGUGUUGGCAGGAGUGGCACAGGAAGCAGAGAAAGACAAGAAACAGAACUAAGAAGAGAGAUCAAACCGAGGAGGCUGAUGUGGCCAGGGAAACACAACCUCCUUGGAUAAAACCUCAGUUUUUAACAUUCCAGAGAAGAUCUGUUAGACAGGAUGCACGACCCAAAGACCGUGAAGUUAAAAAGGCUACUGGAAAACACACACACUCAUCUGCCACGACGAUGAUAGACCAGUUCAAUACAUAUUACUGUCCAGGGUGUGUCCAAAAUGGCACCUAAUUCCCUGAUUUUUAGGGGAUAGGGUGUAAUUUCAGACGUAGCCUAAGUCUUGUCACCAAAGUGCCUUCUCAUCCUAGAAAUAUAGAUGGAUCACCUUUUCUUCCUCUAUUGGCAAUAACUACCAUGUAACCUGGAGCCACCUGGGCUUCCAACCGAACUCUCUGACUCCCAAUUACCUGGAGCCACCUGGGCUUCCAGCUGAACUCUCUGACUCCUAAUUACCUGGAGCCACCUGGGCUUCCAACCGAACUCUCUGACUCCCAAUAACCUGGAGCCACCUGGGCUUCCAACCGAACUCUGACUCCCAAUAACCUGGAGCCACCUGGGCUUCCAACCGAACUCUCUGACACCUAAUAACCUGGAGCCACCUGGGCUUCCAGCUGAACUCUCUGACUCCUAAUAACCUGGAACAACCUGGGCUUCCAACUGAACGUUUACUCCCAAUAACCUGGAGCCACCUGGGCUUCCAGCUGAACUCUCUGACUCCUAAUUACUUGGAGCCACCUGGGCUUCCAGCUGAACUCUCUGACUCCUAAUUACUUGGAGCCACCUGGGCUUCCAGCUGAACUCUCUGACUCCUAAUUACCUGGAGCCACCUGGGCUUCCAGCUGAACUCUCUGACUCCCAAUAACCUGGAGCCACCUGGGCUUCCAGCCGAACUCUCUGACUCCCAAUUACCUGGAGCCACCUGGGCUUCCACCUGAACGUUUACUCCCAAUUACCUGGAGCCACCUGGGCUUCCAGCUGAACUCUCUGACUCCCAAUUACCUGGAGCCACCUGGGCUUCCACCUGAACUCUCUGACUCCUAAUUACCUGGAGCCACCUGGGAUUCCAGCUGAACUCUCUGACUCCCAAUUACCUGGAGCCACCUGGGCUUCCAACUGAACUCUCUGACUCCUAAUUACCUGGAGCCACCUGGGCUUCCAGCUGAACUCUCUGACUCCUAAUUACCUGGAGCCACCUGGGCUUCCAGCUGAACUCUCUGACUCACAAUUACCUGGAGCCACCUGGGCUUCCAGCUGAACUCUCUGACUCUCUCUAACAGACGGCUGUGGUGAAGCCAAACGAUGCUCUACAUUAGCAACAACUGUGAAGUUGAGGUUCAGACGCAGUCAGACUACACUGUCACUUUAAGGUUGUCAAUACGGAGUCGAUGUUGUGUUGAACAGCUUCUCGGUGGGAGAAUGUUCCAUAAUAAAUUACUACUUGACUUUUUACUAGCUGCUCUGAAAGAGGAAGACGAGCCAAACAAUCUAACAACUGAUCUUCUGGACUAGACUGAACCCUGCUAAUGUGGAAGUCAUUCAUGAAUGAGUGAUUACUUCAAUGCGGUUAUUUUAACAGGUAGAUCUGUAAUACUAAGCGGUUAACAGUAGACCUGGAGUGUACAGUGUAAUGUUGAGAAGAGACUUUACACUGAGUGGACAAACAUUAAAAACACCUUCCUAAUAUUGAGUUGAAUCCCAUUUUCCCCCUCAGAACAGCCUCAAUUCAUCAGGACAUGGACUCUACCAGGUGUAGAAAGCGUUCCACAGGGAUGCUGGUCCAUGUUGACUCCAAUGCUUCCCCACAGUUGUCAAGUUGGCCGGAUGUCCUUUGGGUGGUGGAACAUUCUUGAUUCACACGGGAAACUGUGGAGAUUGAAAAACCCAGCAGCGUUGCAGUUCUUGACACAAACCGGUGCGCCUGGCACCUACUACCAUACCCCGUUCAAAAGGCACUUAAAACCACACACACACAAUCCAUGUCUCAACUGUCUAAAAGCUUAAAAAUCCUCCUUUAACUCGUCUCCUCACUUUCAUCUACACUGAUUUGAAGUGGAUUUAACAGGUGAAACAUCAAUAAGGGAUCAUAGCUUUCACCUGGAUUCACCUGAUCAGUCUGUCAUGGAAAGAGAACAGGUGUUCUUAAUGUUUUGUCAACUCAGUCUGUACUCUUCUUUCUCACCUUGUUUGUUUCAAAACGUCACUAUAUAUAGAAUCAUGAUGAGUCUGUCUGUUUGAGGACGAGUCCUGAUCGAUGCAGCAGGACAUGAUGUACCAAAUCUAAUGUCGUAGAUGGUAAAUGAACCAUUCAGAGUGAAAAACGCUCAAUGGUUAAAAAAAAAAAAAAGUUAUUUAAACUUUGAUUUCUACCUUUUUUUUUUGUUGUUAUUUAUCAUAACAUGGAGUUACAAGAGCUGUCAAUUUGCAGGUUUCCACUUUUACCUGUCCUCUCUUCACCUGGGAAUAAUCUGUUACCUUCAGGCACACUACUGAGCCAACACAUAGACACACUGCAGCUCUUCUACAACCACCUCUGGCUGAGAUGCAAAACAAUAAAGAUUCUCCAAUGGUCCUGGUAUUAGAUAGACAGCCACAGGAGUCUGGUUCAUCCUGAACAACGACUUUGGAGACUCUUAAUACCUAGCUGGCAUUUCCCCAAGGGUUCAGUCUGUAAACCUCUCCCCUGAACUUAACAAUGGCUCUGCAUGCCAUUGUAGAGAGACUGUGAUUUUUUUUACUAGGUGUGUGACUGUGUAUUGGGCAAUAGGAUUAAAGAGUUUAUGUUAUUUUAUUUUCCAGACCCUGAAACAGUGGUCGCUGUUCUUCUGUAAUAUAUUCACUCUGAUAAGAGCUUUGUGUAUUCUGCACUAACUGUCUGUACAGUCAAAAUAAAGCCUUGUUUACUAAUA